GACGAACGCUGGCGGCGUGCUUAACACAUGCAAGUCGAACGGAGCGAAUGAAAGCUUGCUUUUAUAAGCUUAGUGGCAAACGGGUGAGUAACACGUAGACAACCUGCCGACAGGAUGGGGACAACAUUCCGAAAGGAAUGCUAAUACCGAAUGAAGUCAGAGAAGGGCAUCCUUUUCUGAUGAAAGAUGGCCUCUAUAUAUAAGCUAUCACCUGUUGAUGGGUCUGCGUCUGAUUAGCUGGUAGGUGAGGUAACGGCUCACCUAGGCGACGAUCAGUAGCCGGUCUGAGAGGAUGAACGGCCACAUUGGGACUGAGACACGGCCCAGACUCCUACGGGAGGCAGCAGUGGGGAAUCUUCCGCAAUGGGCGCAAGCCUGACGGAGCAACGCCGCGUGAGUGAAGAAGGUCUUCGGAUCGUAAAGCUCUGUUGAUGGGGACGAACGUGCCUAAUGCGAAUAGUAUUAGG
rnacentral:rRNA from 1 species